rnacentral:rRNA from 1 species
GCUAGUAAUCGCGGAUCAGAAUGCCGCGGUGAAUACGUUCCCGGGUCUUGUACACACCGCCCGUCACACCAUGGGAGUCGGAAAUGCCCGAAGUCAGUGACCCAACCAUCCGGAGGGAGCUGCCGAAGGCAGGUCCGGUAACUGGGGUGAAGUCGUAACAAGGUAUC